ACGCUCGACACCUACGGAAGGCAGCAGUGGGGAAUAUUGCACAAUGGGGGAAACCCUGAUGCAGCGACGCCGCGUGAAGGAAGAAGUAUCUCGGUAUGUAAACUUCUAUCAGCAGGGAAGAAAAUGACGGUACCUGACUAAGAAGCCCCGGCUAACUACGCGCCAGCAGCCGCGGUAAUCUGAGCGGGCUGGCAAGGC
rnacentral:rRNA from 1 species